CACAAAUUUUUCGAAGAAAAAAAUCAAAAAAUCAUUUAUAUGAAAUAAAAAAGAAUAGUGGCAAAUAUAAACUUCAGUAACUGCACAUUGAGUAAACAUAAUUUCAAUAUUGCAUGAACCACAGGCCCGUACCCAGAAAUUUUCAAGGGGGGGUGGGGGGGUUAUUUGGACUCACGAACUCGACUUUAACAGUCACAAUUCGAACAGAACGUUGACUUUAACAAUGCCUAUUUGUUUUCAAGGGGUUUCGGUUCGUCCGAACCCACCCUGGCUACGGGUAUGAACCAACCCAUGAGAAAACGUAUACAUGUAUGUAGAUGUGUUUGAAAAGACCAAUUCCCAUUUACUUUAUUUCACACUAGGACCUUAGAUAACUAUAACUAAGCAGUGGUUGAUCCAGAAUUUUCAUAAGUGGGGACCCCUUCCAGUCAUGCUUCAUGAAAAAAAUAUAAAAAUAUAUGAAUAUGCUAAAAAAAAAUUCUCUUUCGUAUGUAAUAAAUGAAGACGUUUUGAAAUAUAAAAAAUCUUCCCAUAGUUGGAAAAUUUUCAAUUCAAGUAAUAUCAUUAAAACGGGAGCGUCUAAACACCACCUAGGCCGCCUUGGUGCACAAAGCUCAUGAAACUGCACUAAGCGCAUGAUUGGAUGGUGCUAUGAAUGAAUAAAACAUACCAUCGGACGUAGUUUUUCGUGAAGAUAAUGUAUCUGAAUUUUUUAGUCAUUAAAAAUUGUAGUUACGUCGUAAUUUGAUUUUUUCUGUCAUCAAAGGUUUUGUCCGACGGCACGUGCCAGUAAUUAACCAGGUAUUAAAAUCACUGAUCCAUGAAGAAAUAAAGAAACAUAACAAUUACACGG
rnacentral:lncRNA from 1 species